GAAACCACCCUACAAAGCCAGAUUAAUUAGAACAGAAACAGCAUAAUGGCAAUUCGAAAACUAAAACAGUAGUGCUACAUGGAACUAAAUUUACUCAAGUCUUCGAAUCUUAUAUCUAAGAACAAGUCUAGGAGAUUUAGCCCCUGCACAGAUCUAUUUUUGUGUAAGGAUCUUUACCUUUUGUAUACCUCUUACCAGGGUUUUCCCCUAUACAUCAAUAAAAUCAUACUUAUAAAAAAAUAUUAUAGCAGAAAAUGAACUUAAAAACACCAGAAAAGUGCCUCAGGAAACUUCAUUCCCAUGUUAUCCAACAUUAGAUUUUCGCAUAACAGUCUCUGCAUAGUGCAGAAUAUAAAUUCUUAAAAAAUGAUUGAAUGAAAAACUCUUCUGUCUAAUACAUUCUUUUUCCUUGAUUUCUCAAGUCUGUGUAAAGCCAAGGCUCUCGCUCGGACAAUCCACCAAUAUGUGCAUUAAUAGAUGGUGAUGCUCCAAAUGCAAUUUCGACAGCCACUGCUCAGUUGUAUGUAAAUAGUUGAAUGUUUUACAUUAAGCAACAGGCUGUUCAAGAAACAGUCAAACAAACACCAUGAAAGAGUUUAUUGAUCUUUUGGUUUGUCCACAAUCUGAUGCCCUUUGAUUAGUUUCACUAUUCUUCAGCAGAAGGUGAUAAAGCCAAGGCUAGAAAAGUGAAAACAACUAAAAGAAUUCUCAGCUUAAGAUCAUCCUAAAUAAGAUAUUUAAAAAAAGGGGGCAGCCCGGUGCACUAAAUUUUCACUAUGUGCAGGGCCCGCGGAAGGGUCGGACCACAAGGUCUAUUGGCGCAGCCGUACCCUACAUUUAUGCAAGAGGCUAUUUCCACAGCUUGAACCCGUGUUCUCCUGGUCACAUGGCAGCAACUUCACCAGUUACGUCA
rnacentral:lncRNA from 1 species